rnacentral:rRNA from 1 species
AUGGUCAAAAUACCUUACAGGAUGAUGUUGGAUAUUCUUUUAGAGACUCUGGGCCUUCCACCAGCUGAGUACCGAACCAGAGUAUAUGAUGGCAGCAGGGUGUGUGUGACAGUAUUGUUCCAUACACCCACAUCAUAUGUUGGGAAUGAUAGGAAUCGAAUGGCUAUUCCUAGGGUACAAUCUGUUGAUCAUUCUAUGUCAGAAGACAGUGCUGCUAUGGAAGCAAUUGGGUACAUUAAAUGCACAGUGAAGACAGAGAUAAGAGACUAUAAUUACAGCACCAUGAAGAAACUCGAGGAGGAAAAUCGGUCUCUAAAACAUGAGCUUAAUAUGGCUAGGUACAACAAGAAGAAAAUGAAGACAAAAAUCAGAUCCAUCAAGAACAAGCUAAUGAUUGCUACAUAUGAGAAGAAGCAAAACGCUAUGGGCUGGUUCGUCUUAACAAGGUACAUGCAUGGAUUAUCUGAUCAUAUAUCCAACGUAACGGCGUUGAAUAUGUCACCUGGGGAAGGACCUGUAGAUAAGAUUAUCAAUGACCCUCUUAUCAACAUAGAGAAGGUGGCAAGCUAG